UGGGGGAGUAUUGCACAAUGGGGGAAAGCCCUGAUGCAGCGACGCCGCGUGAGUGAAGAAGUAUUUCGGUAUGUAAACUUCUAUCAGCAGGGAAGAAAAUGACGGUACCUGACUAAGAAGCCCCGGCUAACUACGUGCCAGCAGCCGCGGUAAUACGUAGGGGGCAAGCGUUAUCCGGAUUUACUGGGUGUAAAGGGAGCGUAGACGGAGCAGCAAGUCUGAUGUGAAAGGCAGGGGCUCAACCCCUGACUGCAUUGGAAACUGUUGAUCUUGAGUACCGGAGGGGUAAGCGGAAUUGCCUAGUGUAGCGGUGAAAUGCGUAGAUAUUAGGAGGAACACCAGUGGCGAAGGCGGCUUACUGGACGGUAACUGACGUUGAGGCUCGAAAGCGUGGGGAGCAAACAGGAUUAGAUACC
rnacentral:rRNA from 1 species